ACGCUGGCGGCGUGCCUAAUACAUGCAAGUCGAGCGAACCGAAUGAAAGCUUGCUUUCAUUCGGUUAGCGGCGGACGGGUGAGUAACACGUGGGCAACCUGCCCGUAAGACCGGGAUAACUUCGGGAAACCGGAGCUAAUACCGGAUAACACCGAAGAUCGCAUGAUCUUUGGUUGAAAGGCGGCUUUGGCUGUCACUUACGGAUGGGCCCGCGGCGCAUUAGCUAGUUGGUGAGGUAACGGCUCACCAAGGCGACGAUGCGUAGCCGACCUGAGAGGGUGAUCGGCCACACUGGGACUGAGACACGGCCCAGACUCCUACGGGAGGCAGCAGUAGGGAAUCUUCCGCAAUGGACGAAAGUCUGACGGAGCAACGCCGCGUGAGCGAAGAAGGUCUUCGGAUUGUAAAGCUCUGUUGUUAGGGAAGAACAAGUACCGUUCGAAGAGGGCGGUACCGUGACGGUACCUAACGAGAAAGCCACGGCUAACUACGUGCCAGCAGCCGCGGUAAUACGUAGGUGGCAAGCGUUGUCCGGAAUUAUUGGGCGUAAAGCGCGCGCAGGCGGUUCCUUAAGUCUGAUGUGAAAGCCCACNGCUCAACCGUGGAGGGUCAUUUGGAAACUGGGGGAACUUGAGUGCAA
rnacentral:rRNA from 1 species